ensembl:lncRNA
GUAAGUAGUCAAAUAGGUGAGGUGCAUAAUCACCAACCUGCCACCAGGAUUUGCCUAUCAGCAGUCAUCCAGGAAAAGCAAUUGUCUGCCAAAGAUGGAGAAGUAUACAGUCAGCAAAAACAAGACCUGGAGCUGACUGUUGCUCAGAUCAUGAGCUCCUUAUUGCAAAAUUCAGGCUUAAAUUGAAGAAAGUAGGAAAAAUCACUCUGCCAUUCAGUGGUCAUUUAUGGAUGUGAGAGUUGGACUGUGAAGAAGGCUGAGCACCGAAGAAUUGAUGCUUCUGAACUGUGGUGUUGGAGAAGACUCUUGAGAGUCCCUUGGACUGCAAGGAGAUCCAACCAGUCCAUCCUGAAGGAGAUCAGCCCUGGGAUUUCUUUGGAAGGAAUAAUGCUAAAGCUGAAACUCCAAUACUUUGGCCACCUCAUACGAUUAGUUGACUCACUGGAAAAGACCCUGAUGCUGGGAGGGAUUGGGGGCAGGAGGAGAAGGGGAUAACAGAGGAUGAGAUGGCUUGGUGCCAUCACUGACUCGAUGGACA